GAUGAACGCUAGCGACAGGCCUAACACAUGCAAGUCGAGGGGCAGCACAUGAGUAGCAAUACGAUGGUGGCGACCGGCGCACGGGUGAGUAACACGUAUGCAACCUGCCUUCUACUAUGGGAUAACCCGUUGAAAGACGGACUAAUACCGUAUAAUACAGGGGCUCCGCAUGGAGAUAUUUGUUAAAGAUUUAUUGGUAGAAGAUGGGCAUGCGUAUGAUUAGAUAGUUGGUGAGGUAACGGCUCACCAAGUCAACGAUCAUUAGGGGUUCUGAGAGGGAGGUCCCCAACACUGGUACUGAGACACGGACCAGACUACUACGGGAAGCAGCAGUGAGGAAUAUUGGUCAAUGGACGAGAGUCUGAACCAGCCAAGUCGCGUGAAGGAAGACGGUUCUAUGAAUUGUAAACUUCUUUUGUGCAGGAAUAAAGUGGGUUACGUGUAACCUUUUGUAUGUACUGUACGAAUAAGGAUCGGCUAACUCCGUGCCAGCCGCCGCGGUAAUAC
rnacentral:rRNA from 1 species